GUCCAGACUUCUACGGGAGGCAGCAGUGGGGAAUAUUGCACAAUGGGGGAAACCCUGAUGCAGCGACGCCGCGUGAGCGAUGAAGUAUUUCGGUAUGUAAAGCUCUAUCAGCAGGGAAGAAAAUGACGGUACCUGACUAAGAAGCCCCGGCUAACUACGUGCCAGCAGCCGCGGUAAUACGUAGGGGGCAAGCGUUAUCCGGAUUUACUGGGUGUAAAGGGAGCGUAGACGGCAAUGCAAGCCAGAUGUGAAAGCCCGGGGCUCAACCCCGGGACUGCAUUUGGAACUGUGUAGCUGGAGUGUCGGAGAGGCAGGCGGAAUUCCUAGUGUAGCGGUGAAAUGCGUAGAUAUUAGGAGGAACACCAGUGGCGAAGGCGGCCUGCUGGACGAUGACUGACGUUGAGGCUCGAAAGCGUGGGGAGCAAACAGGAUUAGAUACCCCUGUAUGU
rnacentral:rRNA from 1 species